GACGAACGCUGGCGGCGUGCUUAACACAUGCAAGUCGAACGGAAAGGCCCUGCUUGCAUGGUACUCUAGUGGCGAACGGGUGAGUAACACGUGGGUGUUCUGCCCUGCACUUCGGGAUAAGCCUUGGGAACUGGGUCUCUUACCGGGGAGGAGAGAUUCUUAGUGUGGGUGUUGGAAAGUUUUUUGGGUCUAGGAUGGGUUCGCGGGCUGUCCGCUUGUUGGUUGGGUGAUUGGCUACCUAGGCGGCCACGGGUGGCCGGCCUGCGUGGGUGGACGGGCACAUUGGGGCCGAGGUACGGGCCAGACUCCUACGGGAGGGCACAGGGGGGAAUAUUGGACAAAGGGGGCGAGGCUGAUGCAGGGACGCCGCGUGGGGGAUGACGGGCUUCGGGGUGUAAAAUCCUUUCGCUAGGGAACAAGGUGUGUGUGACGGUACCUAGAUAAGAAGCACCGGCUAACUACGUG
rnacentral:rRNA from 1 species